rnacentral:rRNA from 1 species
UACGUAGGGUGCAAGCGUUACUCGGAAUCACUGGGCGUAAAGCGUGCGUAGGCGGUUCGUUAAGUCUGUUGUGAAAGCCCUGGGCUCAACCUGGGAACUGCAGUGGAUACUGGCGAGCUAGAGUACGGUAGAGGAAGGUGGAAUUCCCGGUGUAGCGGUGAAAUGCGUAGAGAUCGGGAGGAACACCAGUGGCGAAGGCGGCCUUCUGGACCAGUACGUGACGCUGAGGCGCGAAAGCGUGGGGAGCGAACGGGA